AUAAUGGGUCAGCGACUUAUAUUCUGUAGCAAGGUUAACCGAAUAGGGGAGCCGAAGGGAAACCGAGUCUUAACUGGGCGUUAAGUUGCAGGGUAUAGACCCGAAACCCGGUGAUCUAGCCAUGGGCAGGUUGAAGGUUGGGUAACACUAACUGGAGGACCGAACCGACUAAUGUUGAAAAAUUAGCGGAUGACUUGUGGCUGGGGGUGAAAGGCCAAUCAAACCGGGAGAUAGCUGGUUCUCCCCGAAAGCUAUUUAGGUAGCGCCUCGUGAAUUCAUCUCCGGGGGUAGAGCACUGUUUCGGCAAGGGGGUCAUCCCGACUUACCAACCCGAUGCAAACUGCGAAUACCGGAGAAUGUUAUCACGGGAGACACACGGCGGGUGCUAACGUCCGUCGUGAAGAGGGAAACAACCCAGACCGCCAGCUAAGGUCCCAAAGUCAUGGUUAAGUGGGAAACGAUGUGGGAAGGCCCAGACAGCCAGGAUGUUGGCUUAGAAGCAGCCAUCAUUUAAAGAAAGCGUAAUAGCUCACUGGUCGAGUCGGCCUGCGCGGAAGAUGUAACGGGGCUAAACCAUGCACCGAAGCUGCGGCAGCGACGCUUAUGCGUUGUUGGGUAGGGGAGCGUUCUGUAAGCCUGUGAAGGUGUACUGUGAGGUAUGCUGGAGGUAUCAGAAGUGCGAAUGCUGACAUAAGUAACGAUAAAGCGGGUGAAAAGCCCGCUCGCCGGAAGACCAAGGGUUCCUGUCCAACGUUAAUCGGGGCAGGGUGAGUCGACCCCUAAGGCGAGGCCGAAAGGCGUAGUCGAUGGGAAACAGGUUAAUAUUCCUGUACUUGGUGUUACUGCGAAGGGGGGACGGAGAAGGCUAUGUUGGCCGGGCGACGGUUGUCCCGGUUUAAGCGUGUAGGCUGGUUUUCCAGGCAAAUCCGGAAAAC
rnacentral:rRNA from 1 species